rnacentral:rRNA from 1 species
UACGUAGGGGGCAAGCGUUGUCCGGAAUUAUUGGGCGUAAAGCGCGUGUAGGCGGCCAAGUGUGUCGUGCGUGAAAUCUCCCGGCUUAACUGGGAGGGGCCGUGCGAAACUGCCUGGCUUGAGUUCGGUAGGGGGAAUUGGAAUUCCGGGUGUAGUGGUGGAAUACGUAGAUAUCCGGAGGAACACCAGUGGCGAAGGCGGAUUCCUGGGCCGAUACUGACGCUGAGACGCGAAAGCGUGGGGAGCGAUCCGG